rnacentral:rRNA from 1 species
UACCCGCAGCACAAGUGGUGGUCAUUAUUAUUGGGCCUAAAGCGUCCGUAGCUGGCCUGUUAGAUGCCUGGGUAAAUCGAUGCGCUCAACGUAUCGAACUCCGGGUAGACCGGCAGGCUUGGGACCGGGAGAGAUGCGAGCUACUCGAGGGGUAGGGGUAAAAUCCUGUAAUCCUUCGGGGAGGACCAGUGGCGAAGGCGUCGCAUUAGGAACGGCUCCGACAGUGAGGGACGAAGCCCUGGGGCGCAAACCGG